GCACAAGCGGUGGAUGAUGUGGAUUAAUUCGAUGCAACGCGAAAACCUUACCUACCCUUGACAUGUCCGGAGUCCUGCAGAGAUGCGGGAGUGCCCGAAAGGGAAUCGGAACACAGGUGCUGCAUGGCUGUCGUCAGCUCGUGUCGUGAGAUGUUGGGUUAAGUCCCGCAACGAGCGCAACCCUUAUCAUUAGUUGCUACGCAAGGGCACUCUAAUGAGACUGCCGGUGACAAACCGGAGGAAGGUGGGGAUGACGUCAAGUCCUCAUGGCCCUUAUGGGUAGGGCUUCACACGUCAUACAAUGGUCGGUACAGAGGGUUGCCAAGCCGCGGGGUGGAGCCAAUCCCAGAAAGCCGAUCGUAGUCCGGAUUGUUCUCUGCAACUCGAGAGCAUGAAGUCGGAAUCGCUAGUAGUCGCGGAUCAGCAUGUCGCGGUGAAUACGUUCCCGGGUCUU
rnacentral:rRNA from 1 species